UACGAAGGGGGCUAGCGUUACUCGGAUUGACUGGGCGUAAAGGGCGCGUAGGCGGUUUGUACAGUCAGACGUGAAAUUCCUGGGCUCAACCUGGGGGCUGCGUUUGAUACGUGCAGACUUGAGUUCGGAAGAGGGUCGUGGAAUUCCCAGUGUAGAGGUGAAAUGCGUAGAUAUCGGGAGGAACACCAGUGGCGAAGGCGACUACCUGGCCUGUUCUUGACGCUGAGGCGCGAAAGCUAGGGGAGCAAACGGG
rnacentral:rRNA from 1 species